AUGUUGUGAUGAUUCAAUUAACACCAUCUUUCGACUGAAAAACUUGAUGAUUUCAUUUUUUCUGAACAU